rfam:Triticum aestivum genome assembly, contig: Triticum_aestivum_CS42_TGACv1_scaffold_288145_4AL
CAUAUACUCCCUCCGUCCGGAAAUACUUGUCAGAGAAAUGGAUGCAUCGAUCCUCAAAAAAAAAAGAGAAAUGGAUGCAUCUAGACAUAUGUUAGUUCUAGAUACAUCCAUUCUUAUCGAUUUCUUUGACAAGUAAUUCCGCACGGAGGGAGUAUGUA